rnacentral:tmRNA from 1 species
GGGGGUGCACCGGUUUCGACUGGUACGACCCGGGGUGUAGGUUGCAGAUGGAGCGCUCAUCUCCUGAUUGGGCAAAAAUUUAACUGCCAACAACGACAGUUACGCUUACGCCUUAGCAGCGUAAACGCGUGGGACUGUUCCGCCGUCUUGAGGGGCAAAUCCCGCGUCGCAAUCAGGGCUGGUCUUGCCGCAGCGUCCGGUAGCGGCAUGAUGAGAUUUUCCGGAAUACGGACAGGCCGCGCGCCGUUUAGCCAAGUCUGUCCCUACAAUAUAAUAAACGGCUAAAUCUGUAGAUACCUAUAUUUCGCGUAUUGGGACGCGGGUUCGACUCCCGCCACCUCCAAAA